CCCUAUGGGGUGCAGCAGGCGAGAAAACUUUGCAAUGUGCGAAAGCACGACAAGGUUAAUCCGAGUGGUUUGUGCUAAACGAACCUUUUGUCGGUCCUAGAAACACCGAUGAAUAAGGGGUGGGCAAGUUCUGGUGUCAGCCGCCGCGGUAAAACCAGCACCUCAAGUGGUCAGGAUGAUUAUUGGGCCUAAAGCAUCCGUAGCCGGCUCUGUAAGUUUUCGGUUAAAUCUGUACGCUCAACGUACAGGCUGCCGGGAAUACUGCAGAGCUAGGGAGUGGGAGAGGUAGACGGUACUCGGUAGGAAGGGGUAAAAUCCUUUGAUCUAUUGAUGACCACCUGUGGCGAAGGCGGUCUACCAGAACACGUCCGACGGUGAGGGAUGAAAGCUGGGGGAGCAAACCGGAUUAGAUACCCGGGUAGUCCCAGCUGUAAACUAUGCAAACUCAGUGAUGCAUUGGCUUGUGGCCAAUGCAGUGCUGCAGGGAAGCCGUUAAGUUUGCCGCCUGGGAAGUACGUACGCAAGUAUGAAACUUAAAGGAAUUGGCGGGGGAGCACCACAAGGGGUGAAGCCUGCGGUUCAAUUGGAGUCAACGCCAGAAAUCUUACCCGGAGAGACAGCAGAAUGAAGGUCAAGCUGAAGACUUUACCAGACAAGCUGAGAAGUGGUGCAUGGCC
rnacentral:rRNA from 1 species